ensembl:lncRNA
UUUUAGGACAUCCCUGAAGGACAGCAGUGAAGGUAAAUCUUCCCAGUGGGCAGAACUUGGAGCGGUGCAUCUGGUUGUGCACUUUGCAUGGGAGGAGAAAUGGCCAGGUGUGUGAUUAUGUACUGAUUCAUGGGCUGUAGACAAUGUUUGCCUGGAUGGGGCCUGGAAGAAUGGGCUUGGAAGACAAUGGUCAGGGGCUUGAAAGAAGCAUGAUUGGAAAAUUGGUGACAAGUUUGGAGAAGAGGUAUGUGGAUGGACCUCUCCGAGUGGUCAAAAACUGAAGAUAUUUGUAUCCCCUGUGAGUGCUCACCAACAGAUGACCUCAGCAGAGGAGGAUUUUAAUAAUCAAGUGGGUAGGAUGACCUCUUCUGUGGACACCACUCAGCCUCUUUCUCCAGCCACCCAUCAUCGCCCAAUGGGCCCAUAAACAGAGUGGCCAUGGUGGCAGGGAUGGAGAUUACACAUGGAGAUUCAGCAACAUGGACCUCCACUCGCCAAGGCUGACCUGUCUACAGCCACUGCUGAGUGCCCAAUUUGGCAGCAGCAGAGACUAACACUGAGCCUCAAUAUGGCACCAUUCCUCAGGGUGAUCAGCCAGCUACCUGGUGGCAGGUCGAUUAUAUUGGACCUCUUCCAUUAUGGAAAGGGCAGAGGUUUGUACUCACCGGAAUAAGACACUUACUCCUGAUGUGGGUUUGUCUAUCCUGCACGCAGUGCUUCUGCUAAGACUACCAUCCAUGGACUCAACGGAAUGCCUCAUCCACCAUCAUGGUGUUCCACACAGCAUUGCCUCUGACCAAGGCACUCACUUUACAGCUACAGAAGUGUGGCAGUGGGCUCAUGCUCAUGGAAUUCACUAUCUUACCACGUUCCCCAUCAUUCUGAAGCAGCUGGAUUGAUAGAACGGUGGAAUGGCCUUUUGAAGUCACAAUUACACCACCAACUAGGUGACAAUACUUUGCAGGGUUAGGGCAAAGUUCUCCAGAAGGCCAUGUAUGCUCUGAAUCAGCAUCCAAUAUAUGAUAUUGUUUCUCCCUUAGCCAGGUUUCACGGGUCCAGGAAUCAAGGCACUGAAGUGGAAGUGGCACCACCACUCACCAUCACCCCUAGUGAUCCACUAGCAAAAUGUUUGCUUCCUGUUCCCACGACAUUAUGGUCUGCUGGCCUAGAGGUCUUAGUUCCAGAGGGAGGAACGCUGCCACCAGGAGACACAACUGUUCCAUUAAGCUAGAAGUUAAGAUUGCCACCUGGACACUCUGGGCUCCUCCUACCUUUAAGUCAACAGGCUAAGAAGGAGUUACGGUGUUGGCUGGAGUGAUUGAUCUAGACUAUCAAGAUGGAAUCAGUUUCGGCCGGGCGCAGUGGCUCACGCCUGUAAUCCCAGCAUUUUGGGAGGCCAACGCGGGCGGAUCACGAAGUCAGGAGAUCGAGACCAUCCUGGCUAACACGGUGAAACCCCGUCUCUACUAUACAAAAUACAAAACAUUAGCCAGGCAUGGUGGCAGGCACCUGUAGUCCCAGCUACUCGGGAGGCUGAGGCAGGAGAAUGGCGUGAACCCAUGAGGCGGAGCUUGCAGUGAGCUGAGAUCGCACCACUGCACUCCAGCCUGGGCGACAGAGCGAGACUCCAUCUCAAAAAAAAAAAAAGGUGGAAUUAGUCUCUUACUCCACAACGGAGGUAAGGAAGAGUAUGCAUGGAAUACAGGAGAUCCAUUAGGGCAUCUCUUAGUAUUAUCAUGCCCGGUGAUUAAGGUCAAUGGGAAACUACAACAGUCCAAUCCAGGCAGGACUACAAAUCAGGAAUGAAGGUUUGGGUCACUCCACCAAGAAAAAAACCACAACCUGCUGAGGUGCUUGCUGAAGGCAAAGGGAACACAGAAUGGGGAGUAGAAAAAGGUAGUCAUCAAUAACGGCUACAACCGCAUGACCAGCUGCAGAAACCAGGACUGUAAUUGCUGUAUUUCCUCCUUUUGAUAAAAAACGUUUGUGCA